rnacentral:rRNA from 1 species
CAUAGGUUAAUGAGGCGAACCGGGGGAACUGAAACAUCUAAGUACCCCGAGGAAAAGAAAUCAACCGAGAUUCCCCCAGUAGCGGCGAGCGAACGGGGAGGAGCCCAGAGCCUGAAUCAGUGUGUGUGUUAGUGGAAGCGUCUGGAAAGGCGCGCGAUACAGGGUGACAGCCCCGUACACAAAAAUGCACAUGCUGUGAGCUCGAUGAGUAGGGCGGGACACGUGGUAUCCUGUCUGAAUAUGGGGGGACCAUCCUCCAAGGCUAAAUACUCCUGACUGACCGAUAGUGAACCAGUACCGUGAGGGAAAGGCGAAAAGAACCCCGGCGAGGGGAGUGAAAAAGAACCUGAAACCGUGU